rnacentral:rRNA from 1 species
GACGAACGCUGGCGGCGUGCCUAAUACAUGCAAGUAGAACGCACAGUUUAUACCUUUGCUUGCUACACCAUAAACUGUGAGUUGCGAACGGGGGAGUAACGCGUAGGUAACCUGCCUGGUAGCGUGGGAUAACUAGGGGAAACGAUAGCUAAUACCGCAUAAUAUUGAUUAUUGCAUGAUAAUUGAUGGAAAGAUGCUAUUGCAUCACUACCAGAUGGACCUGCGUUGUAUUAGCUUGUAGGUGAGGUAAAGGCUCACCUAGGGGGAGAUACAUAGCCGACAUGAGAGGGUGGUCGGCCACACUGGGACGGAGACCCGGCCCAGACUCCUACGGGAGGCAGCAGUAGGGCAUCUUGGGCAAGGGAUGGAAGUCUGUCCGAGAAACGCCGCGUGAGUGAAGAAGGUUUUCGGAUCGUAAAGGUCUGUUGUAAGAGAAGAACGGGUGUGAGAGUGGAAAGUUCACACUGUGACGGUAUCUGACCAGAAAGGAACGGCUAACUACGUG